UGCUUCUAACUUUCCAAUAAGGUAUCCUUUGGGUUGAAACUUUCCAUGCUUCAUUUCAUCUCAAAGGUGAAUUUAUUUUGGAAAGUUCACAC
rnacentral:pre_miRNA from 10 species